rnacentral:rRNA from 1 species
UACAGAGGUCUCAAGCGUUGUUCGGAUUCAUUGGGCGUAAAGGGUGUGUAGGUGGCGCCGUAAGUCGGGUGUGAAAUUUCGGAGCUUAACUCCGAAACUGCAUUCGAUACUGCGGUGCUUGAGGACUGGAGAGGAGACUGGAAUUCAUGGUGUAGCAGUGAAAUGCGUAGAUAUCGUAAGGAAGACCAGUGGCGAAGGCGGGUCUCUGGACAGUUCCUGACGCUGAGGCACGAAGGCCAGGGGGAGCAAACGGG